ensembl:lncRNA
AGUUAAGGCUGCUGCUUUUUGUCCAAGAAGCUCUAAAUCUAGUCUUUCCCUCCAGCAGUCUCUUUCUCUCUUCUGCAUUAUCACCACAUUAGCAAAAGCCAGUGAUGCUUGAAUUGUAACCUUAAUAUGAAAGAGAGUAAAUUCCCGAAACUUUGUACUGAAUAGUCUGUUAUCAGUUAAAUAUCAAGGCAUGUGGAGGAGCACAUCUGUUUUUCUGGACAUCUGGGAGGUAGCGGGUGAGAAAAUAUGGAAUGGAUGGAGAGAUCUCAUCUGGCUUCAAUUUACUGUGCGUAAUAACAAGAUCUUUAUAGCACUUCUGUAUGGGCUAUCUAGCUCAUAGAGGUAAUACCAGUACUUUCAGACAUGGUUGUAAUGAUCUGCAAAAAAAAAAAAAAAAAGAAAAGAAAAAGAAAACUAGAGAAAUUGGAUCACAAGACAUGCUACAAACCAGCAGCAGGAAAGGAGUACCUUUCACAGGCUGAUGACUGAGUGGGCAAAUUCAUGUGAAUUCUGCAGAAUUCCUGCAGCCCAGCCAGCCCACCACACUGCCAUCUCAAGUAUCUCUGCGUAAGGACAGGAUAUCAGUCCAAUGACUUAAGCUGGAUUUAGAUCAAUUCCACCUCCUUACUACAAACCCAUGAAACCACUACAAAAGGCUUUAAGACUUGUUGCUGGAUAUCCCGUUUCAAUGUUGUGCAGAAGGGCAAUUAUUUGGCGAAACAAUUGCCAAGUUAGUAUUACAUCUGUAAAACGUUUCUCCUUAGCUUUGGUAUACUUUCUUCUUUAUCUUUCAGUGUUUUUAUAAUCAUGGUGAUGCAAAAAUAUUCACUGGAACUGCUACUGGUGUUACUGUCAGUAGUCACUUAUGAGCACAUUAGUACCUUUUUCUACUGAAUAUUAUUACUUCUGAAAUCAGGCUUUAUUUAUGCUGGAUAAAAUCAAACAUGCCAUGAAGCACAGGUGAUAAAUGCGCUUGAAUUCCAGUUAUGCUUUAUUUUUCAUAUUGAGUGCCAACAGUCAAGUUGGAUGAUGGAGAACCAAUGUCAGUGCAGACACUGGCACAGCUGAUUCACAAAUAAAUGCUUUAGGAUCCACGUGGUAGUGGUGAGCGCUGAGCUGGGGGUGAGGUGGGAGGACAUGACUGUGUGUGUUCAUGGGGUUGGAAGGGCCAUCGUGUUUCACAGAUUCCAAACAACAAAUUCUGACAAGUGAAAAAUGUUUGAUUUUUAAAAGUCACACAGCUAGCCCUUUUUUUAAACACUUUCCGUAUUUAUUUAACCUAGUAAAUAGGUUUAUUAGCAAGGUUCCAUUCUUUGUAGUUUAGGUAAUGGAUUUACCAUAUGUUUAUGCUUUAAGGACUUGUGUAAGACUGCUAACACCUAUUUCUCCACCUCCUGUCUCAGAGGUUAAGACCUUGGUAUGUUGCCAGUUUACUGCUGUGGUCCUUUCCCCUUGUAUAAUUACAGUCAUUCCCAGAGUGAAGGAAAUUCCCUGAGCUUUUACUCUAACUAGCCACAGUGUUUCACUACAAAAAGGCACUUCUUUAAAAAGAAGAAAAGUAAUAAAACUUUCACAUUAUUAACUUUUUCCCUUUUAAAAGAGGCUGGAAAAUGCCAUUGUACCACAUUAAAGGCCUUUAUAUAAGACUCACCAUUGGGUAAUGAGCCUUGUUGUACAAUCUACCACAUGCAACUGCCUUCAAGUGCUGCUUUUAACUUAACCUUGAUGUAGUGCCAGGAAUGUGCAAAGGAUAUACUUUGAUGGUGGAGGCAGUCUACUUCUCUCUCUCUCUUUUUCCCUUUUUUUUUUUUUCCUUUUUCUCCUUUUCCGAAUCAGUACACCACAAAAUAUAUGCAAGAUUUAAAUUUUAUUGUUUAGCUGAGCAAUUGAAAUACAUUCCAUAAAAGAGGAAUAAGGAAUUAUCUGUUCUAUGGAAAUAAGCCAGUAGGUCAGUUAUUUAUAAUAGAAAUGAUAAUAAGUUGUUACUUUGUACUUAUGCAGUGACUUUCUUCCUGCAGACAAACAGAAUUUCAUAGGCAUCCUCACAACUCCCCUGUGAAGCAAGUAUCAUAAUCGCUGUUUUAUGAUUAAUAAAACUAGUUCAAUUACUUUCCUGAAGAUUACACAGAAUAUCCGUAUCAGAAAAAGGAUCUGAAGAAUUUUCACUUUCAGUUACCUCUUUGAUUAUGAGCCAUUUCCUCCCAUCACUAGAGUGAAUUAUUUUGGUAACAGUGCUACUGGAAUUUGUUUAAAUUCCAUGUUAUGGCCAGAUGUGUUCUACUAGAAACAUGUAUUCAAUUUAUAUAAUAAUAUGCAUGGGAUAUGUAAUAAAAUAUGAUUUUAGAAACACUUGACAUUAGUCUUUUCUUAAAUAAAAUAAAUAUG